UUGGUGCUUCAUACCUGAAUGAAAUAAUAAGUGCUCUGAAGGAAAAACCUGAAGAAAUACUGAGGUAUAUCACGGUAUAAUUAGCCAAGAUAGGCAGACCAAGACUUCUGACUACAGUGGGCUUUGAGACCUAACAGUUCUGGUGACCUCUCCCACACACGCUCAUGUGAUGACGGAAUUAACAAAUGGGAGUACAACGGGACAGCUCUGGAGAGUAAUCUUCCUUCAUGACUAUAUUAGAACCACAUGAAACAAAAGUCGCGCGCAGAAGAUGAAGAGCCUUCUGUAGGAUGUGCAGCAUUUCACCGGCUGAGCUCACUUAUCGACGGGUUGAAAUGAUUUAGCGAUAUGACUGCACCUUACACACGGCUUAUUUUGGCUUAUUUCACAUGGCUGAGCUCAUUAGUUUUGUCAGCUACUCAGAAAGUGUGUGAGCAAAACCUGUUUUCUAUUGUGAGAGGGCAGGCCUCCGGAAAUAGCGUCCUGCACAAUACUUAACUUGAAACACAAUUUUCAAAGUUUAGCAAAAAAUAUGUUCCCUAUUCAUUUAACAUGAUUAUGAUUGGUCAGAAAAUAUACAUGGUUUUAUAAUGUGCCUUUUCCUUCAGUUUAAUAUAACUGUCAUAGAAGAAUAAUUUUUUUAAAGACACAUUAUUUUUGGUGAAAGAAGACAAAUGAUAAUUGUCCUUCCUCACAGUUUAAAAUAAUACAAACAAAUCCAUAUUGUACAUCAUAUUGUCUGCCCUGGCUUGAAAUUUUAAAAUCGUAUGAUUUAGAUUCAUCAUGGAUACUUGUGUCGUGUGGACCUGCACAUGCACAUGUCAUACCUUAGUCCUUUUCACUUCUUCUUCCCUUCUACUGCUAGAUCCUUUUUCAAACCUUCAAACUUUUUUUUUACCUUUUUAGAACCCUUCAAAAAGGGAUUCACUCAAUUAUGUUGAAAAAACUGUAAUUUUAAUUGGCAUAUUGAAUGUUUUUAUUUGGAUUACUGAAGUAACAAUGUUUAUAAAAUUCAGCUUAAUUUUUUACCUACUCAUAUUUUAAUGACUUGAAAAUUCACUUGACAGAUAAAAUUCUUCAAAAUAGAUGCAAGCUAUAAAAACUCCUGGGUGAUGCAAGAAAUACGGUUUUACUGUUAAUAAAUAUGACUUAAUUUGUA